GUAGGGAAAUUUGUAGUGUCCCCUAUAGAGUUGGUUAUGGACUUUCUCUUAGGGCCAUAAAACAGUCUCAACACAGUAGGUGUCAGGCGGGUUAUGUGUAUCAACGCACAAGGUCUGUUCGCCGCCAAGUAAUAGUGUUUUGGCUUUAUCGUUGGUAUUCAGGGAGGGCGGCCAUUACUUAUGAGUGGUAGAAAGGCAGGUUCAGAGUGAGAAUGGUAAGAAUGGAGGUCGAGCAAGCGGAGACAGCAAGGAGUUUGGACGAGGUGCGGUAUUCCCGGGUGAUCCACACGCUAGGCAGAGAGGGCGUGGAAGCCCUGCGGCGGAGCAGGAUUUUGAUAAUUGGAUGUGGAGGGGUUGGGGCGGAGAUAGCCAAGAAUGUUAUCCUCUGUGGGGUGGCUUCCGUCGGAUUGGUGGACGACGGGGCUGUGCGAACGGCAGACUUGGGUGCCACCUUCCUUCUUUCCCAGGGAGACGUGGGCCAAAACAGAGCCCUUUCUACUGUUAAUGCUUUGAAGGAUCUCAACCCGGACGCAUCGGUUGAGGCGUUACCUUGUUCCGAUAUCGAAGUUCAUUUGAAAAAGUUCAGCGUGGUCGUUGCCACGGAUGGGACAGUCCCCUUCCUGGUGAAGUUGAACCACCUUUGUAGGUCCUCUGGCAUUGCAUUUGUGUACGCACGUGCCAGAGGGGUUUUUGCGUCCGUUUUUUGUGACUUUGGUGACCACUUCCUUGUUCGUGAUGACACUGGUACUACCCCAUUCAAUGUUGUCAUUGAGAGCAUAACUCAAGACUUUCCUGCAACUGUCACUGUUGUAGAAGAACAGAGGCAUGGCCUCCAGGACAGGGAUGCGGUUGUUUUCCAUGGAAUUAGAGGUAUGGAAGAACUCAAUCGCUCCUUGCCUGUGGCUGUCAAUGUCACUGGAUCUCACUCAUUUACCAUACUCGUCGAUACUCGGCAGUUUGGGCGCUACACUUCAGGAGGCUAUUUCCAUAAGGUGAAAGCUAGUAAAACUGUUAAGUUCCUUCCACUGGAGGAAGCUCUUGUAGCGCCACAAUUUUGUGCUUAUGACCCUGCAAAGCAACAACACAUUCUUGACUUACAUGUUGCAUUUCAAGCUGUUGAAACGUUUGAGAGAAUCAAGUGUCCCGACUCUCAUUUUGUCAACCCAGUAGCUAUAAAAGACGAGGAAAUCGACGAGGUUCUAUUGCUAGCACGGCAAGCCGCAGCGCUUAUCUCUAUGCCUAUGACCAAUGACUGCACACCAAUUACCUCCGGUUUUGGAGAUGAAAGAUGGCAUUCAACUAGUUCAAAUUAUAAAAUUGAAACUGAUGUAGAUGACAAAGCUUAUGGUGAUAUGGUAAAUGGACAAACCAAAGAUAAGAAGACUCUUACUGGAGAACAGAUUGCAGAAGCAAAUAAAAAUGCAUGUCCGGUGAAGACACAAGCAGAAGUUAAUGAAAACAUAGUUAAACUGGUAGCUUUAGAAGCACAUGUGGAACUAUGUCCCAUUGUUUGUAUUGCGGGAGGCAUUGCUGCACAAGAGGUCAUAAAGGCUGUAACAGGAGUAUUUUUUCCAGUUCACCAAUGGCUUUACAUAGAUGCCAUAGAAUGCCUUCCACCAGUAGCACCUAGUUUUCAAGAAAGGUCUGCUUCUGAUUCCCGUUAUGAUUCUUAUGUAGCAAUAUUUGGGAAGGAUCUUCAAAAGAAGCUUGGUCAUGGACAGUGGCUAGUUGUAGGUGCAGGGGCGAUUGGAUGUGAAGUCAUGAAAAAUCUGGUAUUAAUGGGUAUUGGUUGCAGCCCAAAUGGAAGCAUAACAGUAUCUGAUAUGGAUAAUGUAUCAAAGCCAAACCUGUCGAAUCAGGUAUUAUACCAAAUAGAUGACUUGGGGAGACUGAAAACAGCCUCAGCAUCGAGGGUUUUGCGAAAAAUCAAUCCUGCAGCCCAAGUACGUGCACUGAAUGUGAAGUUCAGUAUGGAGGCUGAAAAUAUAUUUGACUCUUCCUUCUUCGAUUCAAUUUGUGGUGUGCUUUCUGCUCUCGACACAUCUUCAUCAAGACUAUAUCUUGAUGCUCGCUGUGUGGCAUAUCAAAAGCCAAUGAUUGAUGGAGGCAAACAUGGUACCAGAGGCAGUGUGCAGGUUUUUGUUCCUUUUUGUUCAGAAAUGUAUGCUUCCACAAGGGAUCCUCCGGAACACAGGGAGAGCCCUAUAUGUACAAUUAAGAACUUUCCAUAUGCAAGUGAACAUACUCUACAGUGGGCUGUUGAAUUAUUUGAGAACCUUUUCAAGCAGCGACCGGAUGAUGUAAAUGCUUAUCUUUCCAAUCGAGAUUUCCAGGAGUCACUAAAAAUGUCAACAACACCUGCGAGGCACCAGAUCCUUGAAAUGUUGAGGGACGCUCUUGUCAAAUACAAACCAUUGAGUUUUGAAGCUUGUAUAGAAUGGGCUCGUUUACAAUUUGAAGAAAUGUUUUCAAACAACAUCAAACAGCUUUGCUACAAUUUCCCAAUUGACAUGAGAACAACAGCUGGGGCUUCCUUUUGGAGUGGCACAAAAAGGUUGCCAAGAGCUUUAGAUUUUGAUCCAGAGGAUCCUUUGCACAUGGAUUUUGUCAUUGCUGCCGCAAACUUACAGGCAACUGUAUAUGGACUUAGAGGAUGCACGGAUCACAACCAUUUUAUGCAAAUCCUUCAAAAGAUUGACAUACCAGUCUUCAAACCCAAGGAAGGUGUGAAAAUAGCACUAUCAGAUAAUGAUCUUCCUAGCAGCACACAAGGAAAGGCUAGCACAACUGUUGGGGACUGUGAUGUUGCAAGUUCUUCUGACAUCCUUUCUCAACUGCCUACUCCUACAACUCUUGUGGGCUAUCGUCUUUCGCCCGUAAACUUUGACAAGGACGAUGAGGGAAAUUUUCACGCUGAAUUUGUUCAUUCAGCAGCAAACCUGCGAUCGCAGAACUAUGGGAUAGGUUAUUCUGAUAAAUUGCAGGCAAGGCUUAUUGGUGGGAGGACAAUUCCAUCAAUCAUCACUACAGCUUCUGUUGUUGGGGGUCUGAUGUGUCUUGAGGUUUUUAAAAUCUUGCAAGAGAAGCCUUUGGAGGAAUACAGACAUUCUUAUUUCAACUUAUCUUUGCCAUUGUUUAUAUCUGCUCAACCUAUAAAAGCUGUAGAAAACAAGGUUAUAAGGACUCAAAAGGAGCCAUUGCUAUGGACACUGUGGGACAAGUUUGAAAUGGACUGUGUUGGGAUGUCUUUGCAGACAUUUAUUGCUGAAUUCAAGCAGGAACAUGGACUUGAUACUUGUGGAGCCAAGGGUUUCUGCAGACUAAUAAUUUGGGAACGAAAACACCCUAUGAUUUGCAUAAUUGAGGAGGUGAAAGAUCUUUCGAGGGGUUGCAGCUGAGAAUGGGAGACAACUCAGUCUUUCAUAUUGUGCCUAAUGAGUUUUUUUGCAUCUUCAUGGUAUAUUCAGCUUAUCAUAAUGGAUGCCCUAAAUGCAUCAAUUUCCAUUGAAGAAGGAAGGCAAUUUCAUUGAAGAUCAUUUGGAGGUGAAAACUAGGUGAAAGCUGAUUAAAUUGCAGAUCUGAGACAAAUCGGGUUUCACCCACCAAACCCACGAUUUGGUUCUUUUUUCAUCAUUGGAGCAUUACAUCAUACAUUGGAGGACAGUGCUAGUAUUGGUGAUGAAGGGCGAUGCUUUUAGGAGUAUUUUGAAGGAGCAAUAAGAAGAAAUCAGUGUCAAAACAGGUCUGAAGACAAUUCGUAUCAGACUCCCAUUUCCUACGAAUGUGCUCCUAGUCUUCCAUCUUGGCAUCGUAUCUCACCAAGGAAGAUAGCCACACUUGAGAAGAGGAGGUGAUCAUUGUAGGAGAGAAGGUAAAGACUCAGCAGCUGAUAAUUAUUUAUUCAGACCUCAUUAUUGCAGCAGGGGCGAUUCUGAGACAAAUACGACUUGGCAGAUUGGAGGCUUCAAAAUUCAUUAUAUUGCUUGCUUCUUCAACUAUCAGGCUAAGGUUAAUAUGAUAAUGUAUGGAAAGAGCCUUCUAUAUGCAGAAUUUCUAAACAAGAAGAAGUUACAGGAGAGAAUGUCCUUGACUCUUCUUGAACUUGUGCUUAAUGUUGGAAAAGUCACAAUUCCGACAACUGA